AUUGAACGCUGGCGGCAGGCCUAACACAUGCAAGUCGAGCGGAUGAAGGGAGCUUGCUCCUGGAUUCAGCGGCGGACGGGUGAGUAAUGCCUAGGAAUCUGCCUGGUAGUGGGGGAUAACGUCCGGAAACGGGCGCUAAUACCGCAUACGUCCUGAGGGAGAAAGUGGGGGAUCUUCGGACCUCACGCUAUCAGAUGAGCCUAGGUCGGAUUAGCUAGUUGGUGGGGUAAAGGCCUACCAAGGCGACGAUCCGUAACUGGUCUGAGAGGAUGAUCAGUCACACUGGAACUGAGACACGGUCCAGACUGCUACGGGAGGCAGCAGUGGGGAAUAUUGGACAAUGGGCGAAAGCCUGAUCCAGCCAUGCCGCGUGUGUGAAGAAGGUCUUCGGAUUGUAAAGCACUUUAAGUUGGGAGGAAGGGCAGUAAGUUAAUACCUUGCUGUUUUGACGGUACCAACAGAAUAAGCACCGGCUAACUUCGUG
rnacentral:rRNA from 1 species